rnacentral:rRNA from 1 species
CGGCGUGCCUAGUACAUGCAAGUCGAACGCAUUGUGGUUGAAAUGAUAUGAAGAACUUGUUCAGAUUUGAUUUCAACAUUGCAAUGAGUGGCGAACGGGUGAGUAACACGUGGGAAACCUACCUCUUAGCAGGGGAUAACAUUUGGAAACAAUGCUAAUACCGUAUAAUAAUUAAAACCGCAUGGUUUUAGUUUAAAAGAUGGUCUUGCUAUCACUAAGAGAUGGUCCCGCGGUGUAUUAGUUAGUUGGUGAGGUAAUGGCUCACCAAGACAAUGAUACAUAGCCGAGUUGAGAGACUGACCGGCCACAAUGGGACUGAGACACGGCCCAUACUCCUACGGGAGGCAGCAGUAGGGAAUCUUCCACAAUGGACGAAAGUCUGAUGGAGCAACGCCGCGUGUGUGAUGAAGGGUUUCGGCUCGUAAAACACUGUUGUAAGAGAAGAAUGACAUUGAGAGUAACUGUUCAAUGUGUGACGGUAUCUUACCAGAAAGGAACGGCUAAAUACGUG